rnacentral:rRNA from 1 species
GACGAACGCUGGCGGCGUGCUUAACACAUGCAAGUCGAACGGAAAGGCCCUGCUUUUGUGGGGUGCUCGAGUGGCGAACGGGUGAGUAACACGUGAGUAACCUGCCCUUGACUUUGGGAUAACUUCAGGAAACUGGGGCUAAUACCGGAUAGGAGCUCCUGCUGCAUGGUGGGGGUUGGAAAGUUUUGGCGGUUGGGGAUGGACUCGCGGCUUAUCAGCUUGUUGGUGGGGUAGUGGCUUACCAAGGCUUUGACGGGUAGCCGGCCUGAGAGGGUGACCGGCCACAUUGGGACUGAGAUACGGCCCAGACUCCUACGGGAGGCAGCAGUGGGGAAUAUUGCACAAUGGGCGGAAGCCUGAUGCAGCAACGCCGCGUGCGGGAUGACGGCCUUCGGGUUGUAAACCGCUUUCGCCUGUGACGAAGCGUGAGUGACGGUAAUGGGUAAAGAAGCACCGGCUAACUACGUGCCAGCAGCCGCGGUGAUACGUAGGGUGCGAGCGUUGUCCGGAUUUAUUGGGCGUAAAGGGCUCGUAGGUGGUUGAUCGCGUCGGAAGUGUAAUCUUGGGGCUUAACCCUGAGCGUGCUUUCGAUACGGGUUGACUUGAGGAAGGUAGGGGAGAAUGGAAUUCCUGGUGGAGCGGUGGAAUGCGCAGAUAUCAGGAGGAACACCAGUGGCGAAGGCGGUUCUCUGGGCCUUUCCUGACGCUGAGGAGCGAAAGCGUGGGGAGCGAACAGGCUUAGAUACCCUGGUAGUCCACGCUGUAAACGGUGGGUACUAGGUGUGGGGUCCAUUCCACGGGUUCCGUGCCGUAGCUAACGCUUUAAGUACCCCGCCUGGGGAGUACGGCCGCAAGGCUGAAACUCAAAGGAAUUGACGGGGCCCCGCACAAGCGGCGGAGCAUGCGGAUUAAUUCGAUGCAACGCGUAGAACCUUACCUGGGUUUGACAUGGAUCGGGAGUGCUCAGAGAUGGGUGUGCCUCUUUUGGGGUCGGUUCACAGGUGGUGCAUGGCUGUCGUCAGCUCGUGUCGUGAGAUGUUGGGUUAAGUCCCGCAACGAGCGCAACCCUUGUUCACUGUUGCCAGCACGUUAUGGUGGGGACUCAGUGGAGACCGCCGGGGUCAACUCGGAGGAAGGUGGGGAUGACGUCAAGUCAUCAUGCCCCUUAUGUCCAGGGCUUCACGCAUGCUACAAUGGCUGGUACAGAGAGUGGCGAGCCUGUGAGGGUGAGCGAAUCUCGGAAAGCCGGUCUCAGUUCGGAUUGGGGUCUGCAACUCGACCUCAUGAAGUCGGAGUCGCUAGUAAUCGCAGAUCAGCAACGCUGCGGUGAAUACGUUCCCGGG